AGCCGCGGUAAUACGUAGGGUGCAAGCGUUGUCCGGAAUUAUUGGGCGUAAAAAGCUCGUAGGCGGUUUGUCGCGUCUGCUGUGAAAACCCGAGGCUCAACCUCGGACCUGCGGUGGGUACGGGCAGACUAGAGUGCGGUAGGGGAGACGGGAAUUCCUGGUGUAGCGGUGGAAUGCGCAGAUAUCANGAGGAACACCGAUGGCGAAGGCACGUCUCUGGGCCGUAACUGACGCUGAGGAGCGAAAGCGUGGGGAGCGAACAGGAUUANAUACCCUGGUAGUCCACGCCGUAAACGUUGGGCGCUAGCUGUGGGCUCCAUUCCACGGAGUCCGUGACGAAGUUAACACAUUAAGCGCCCCGCCUGGGGAGUACGGNCGCNAGGCUAAAACUCAAAGGAAUUGACGGGGGCCCGCACAAGCGGCGGAGCAUGCGGAUUANUUCNAUGCAACGCGAAGAACCUUACCAAGGCUUGACAUAUANAGGAAAAGUGCAGAAAUGUNCUCCCCGCAAGGUCUCUAUACAGGUGGUGCAUGGUUGUCGUCAGCUCGUGUCGUGAGAUGUUGGGUUAAGUCCCGCAACGAGCGCAACCCUCGUCCUAUGUUGC
rnacentral:rRNA from 1 species